GUUGCUGGCAAUAGUGAAUAAAAUACUGUUGGAGAUUGUUGGAAAACUGAUCAGUGAUGCGUGUCUCAUGCACUAACUUUGGAUGAACUCUACAAAAAUUGUAUACGUUACUCAUGAUACUAGAAUUUUUGUCAAUGGAGAUAGACGUUAAUCUAUUUUAUAGUAUUGUUGGGAUCACUCAGAUGCGCCCUUCCCAGUGCUCGGAUAAUGACUGGAUCAAAUAAGAACAGGCUUUAUUUGGUUGACGAAUGAAGUAGAGAAGAUUUUUUAAGUGAAGGGAACAUUUGUAUAAUAAUUCUUUAUUAAUUUUCCUAUACUUAUGUCGAAGAAGUUAUAAUAAUAAGUGACAAUAGUUUUGGUUAUUUUUAUAAAUUGAGGAAAUGAUUUCAAAAGUGAAUAAUUUGAACAAACAUCUUGCUGUAACUAUAUACAAGUUAAUAUAACAAUUAAUUUAAAAUAAUGUAACAAUAUAUGAAUUAAAACAUUUUCUGAUUUUUUAUUUAAACAUUUAUUUGUGUACCAUUCUUUUCAUACGCACUGUAGCCUACUUAAGUGGACUAUAUUUUUUAGAUGAUGUUUUUUUUUAUUUUCUCCUUACUCCAUCAUUUUUGUAGAUACAUAAUAUAUAUAUCUUUACAUAUAUUUUAUUAUAUACAUAUAUCUUUUCCAUCGGUAGACAUCAUUUUAGAAAAGGUGCAUCAGGUAUUAUUAUUUUAUUGAUUUUUUAUUUUAAAAAACUGAUCUUACACAAAUCAUAUAUGUAUCGUACGUAAAUUUUAACUGGAUUAUUUUUAGAUUUAAUAGUCUUUUUUGUCUGCCUGUGUUUCUUAAAAUGAGUAUAUAUGAAUUAAAAAUUAUAAUAUAAUUCUGCACACAUUACACAUUACUUAGCUAUCAAUAAAUAUGUAUACUAGUCUUCUCCGUCUGUCUGUGUUUUUUAAAAUAAGUAGAUAAUGAAGUUGUUUAAUUUACACUACAGUUGUAAUCUAUUUGAAUUUGGCGCUCCCCUAGCAGAUGGCGCGCGUGCAACCUUUGUUUGCCGGAUCGCGGAUAAUCAGCUAAUACAUACAGGUAUAUAUAUAGUCGAAUCUGGUGGAUAUACCUGAACGUAAAACUAAAAUCGGCAUGUUAUUUUAAUGGUGCCUAUCGCUAGGUGCGGAUCUCUUUGUUUCCAGAAUCCUCCUCAACAAAAAAUCGUGAGAAAACUCCUGUGCAUGUGUGAAGAAGGAUAUUUCUUAGUAUCAAAGAAUACUUUGGAUCGAAAUAAACGGAAGAUAUCAUUUGAGAGAAAGGUUUGGAUCGCCAUCAAGUCUCUACCAUAAUCAUUUUGGUAACUACGUGCAUCCCAAACUUGGCAGCUUCGCGCGCCCCUAAGUUGGCAGCUUCGUGCGCCUCUGAUUUGGCAGCUUCGUGCGCCUCUAAGUUGGCAGCUUCGUGCGCCCCUACGGUGGCAGCUUCGUGCGCCCCUAAGUUGGCAGCUUCGUGCGCCCCUACAUUGGCAGCUUCGUGCGCCCCUAUACGUUGGCAGCUUCGUGUGCCCAUUUUUAGUUUUGUAUGUUCUAAAAUUUUAAUAAAUUUCUGUGUUUUUUAUUAUUUGAAAUGGAAAAACAAAAAAAAAUAUUUGUUCUUGAAAAUGAUGAAAUGUCAAGAAUUCUUGAUGGAUCUCGGUUACAGGAUACACAUAUUGAUAAAUUUCAUAGCAUGCUGUCUAAUGAGACUAUUUUUGAACCACGUUCUACGUUGUAUCUUACAAAUGUAAUGCUUGAUCCUAAUUCGAGCCGUAUAAAACCUAUAUCACGAAACGUUCUCCAUGUCCAAAUAUUACAUAGCUGUGAUGAUUUGUGUAAUAAAUGUAUUAAUGGUCA